rnacentral:rRNA from 1 species
GAUGAACGCUGGCGGCGUGCCUAAUACGUGCAAGUAGAACGCUGAAGGAAGGAGCUUGCUCUUUCCGGAUGAGUUGCGAACGGGUGAGUAACGCGUAGGUAACCUGCCUGGUAGCGGGGGAUAACUAUUGGAAACGAUAGCUAAUACCGCAUAACAGUAGAUAUUGCAUGAUAUCUGCUUGAAAGGUGCAAUUGCAUCACUACCAGAUGGACCUGCGUUGUAUUAGCUAGUUGGUGAGGUAACGGCUCACCAAGGCGACGAUACAUAGCCGACCUGAGAGGGUGAUCGGCCACACUGGGACUGAGACACGGCCCAGACUCCUACGGGAGGCAGCAGUAGGGAAUCUUCGGCAAUGGACGGAAGUCUGACCGAGCAACGCCGCGUGAGUGAAGAAGGUUUUCGGAUCGUAAUAUGCUCUGUUGUAAGAGAUAGAAGCGA